rnacentral:lncRNA from 1 species
AUCAAUCAAAAGGGUCCACUGAAUCCUAUAAAACACAGAACAAGGGCAACUAUCCAUGAAUCGUUUUCCUCUUGAGUUAAGCAAUUGAAAUUGUAUGAUUAUUAAGAAAUAAGCCACCACAUCUACAAGUCAAGAAAGAAAACCAAGCAAAAGUAUUGUCUGAGGGAUAUCAACACAUUCCUACAUUAGUUGUAAAUAUAUAAUGCCAACUAAUUAAUAAAGGGAAAAAAACAUGAAUGAAAUACAUUUUUUAACACAUUCCUACAUUAGUUGAAAUUUAAAUUAAUCCCAGUAAAUUAUGUUGAUCCCGUAUAAGUUUAAAACCAGGGAUGCAUAUAUACAAAAAG